ACAAGACCAAAACGUAACUUUAGCCCUGAAUUCCGACUCGAAGCAGCACAGCUAGUCGUCGAUCAACACUACACGGUUCGUGAAGCGGCUGAAGCCAUGAAUGUGGGAU
rnacentral:sRNA from 1 species